GCAGGUGUAUGGAUAGUAAAACUACAUGAGAUUGGCAUGAAGGUCCCAUGCAUGGAGGGGGAAAAAAGAGUGGAAACCCUUCAAGUCAGUCUCACUUCCAUUUCUUCAUUCAUCAGACAUGUCCCUCGCUCUCUCAAAUGUUUCCUUCAUCGGUGUUCGCUUCACCGCACCUGAGGUGGCUGAGCAUCCCAUCCUGACCAAUCACCACCACCAACAGACUCCUCCCACUCUCAUCUCUCCUAUUCCCUCAUCAAAUUCUUCCAAAACUCAACAGAAAAUUCCAUAUCAAACUAUAAACGAUAAAAACCCUAAAUCCUAAAAUGAAAAUUAAACGAUGAUGGAGGCGAGUCAAGCCACUCAUCCUUAGGGAUUGGAUUCCCCUCAAUGAGGGCUACAUUAUGGAAUCAACUUCGAAAUAAAAGAAGCAAGGAGAGGAAGUGAUCUAUCGGCAAGAUCGUGGCUUGUCUCAAAGUUUUUUGGGGAUGAGGAUGAAGAUUACAAAGAUAAAACCAAAGGAAUGACAUUGUGCUUUUGAAGGGUUGGUGACAUAUAGUAGGAGUGUACUUGGCUUGAUAUAGGACAAUGUUCAUGAAGGGUUUAACAUUUGAGAGGCUAAGCAUGGCAUUGAUCAAAGUUGGUAAGGCAUAGGGGAAUAACAUCAAGACAUGAAGAAGUUUGAAGGCACAAGGAUAAAAUAUCUAUGGGAAUGAAAAACAAUGUAGACUUAGGAUCAAGUUUAACUUUGGUCAACUAUGUGACCAAAAGUCAAUAGUUUACCAAAAGUUAACUCUAGGUUAAAUGUAUCUUUUUGUGUAGAAUUUGAUUUUGGACUUCUUUUGUAAUGUAUUUGAUGUCUUUGUAAUUAAAACGAUCCUUGAAUUGAAUGGUAUCUUGCAUUCUAAGAAGCAUGGCCUUUCCCUCCAAA